ensembl:lncRNA
GUGAGGACGACCAGCUGGCCCUCUGCUGGGAGUGUGGAGACUCAGACAGACACCAGGGACACAGAGUCUCCCCCCAUCAGCAGGCACUGCGGGACUGCAGGGAGGAGCUGAUGGCCUCCAUGCAGCCUCUGUUUCAGUGCCUGAAGACUGCCACAGGUGCACAGCAGACCUGCAGACAAAUGGCUAAGCACAUCCCAGCGCAGUCUGAGGAGACGGAGAGUCGGAUAAAAGAGCAGUUUGAGGAGCUCCGGCGGUUCCUGAGGGCAGAGGAGGAGGCGCGGAUAGCCGCCGUGAGGGAGGAGCAGGAGAGGAAGGCUCGGGCGCGUCGAGAGAGGGCGGAGAGGAUGAGGAAGGAGAUGUGCAAGCUCCUCCACACGCUCAAAGCCUCCCAGAUGGAGAUGGAGAUGGACGGGGGAGACGGGCUUCACUUCCUUCAGGUUAAACACAAACAAGACUGUAGCACUGAUGAGAUGUUGGCACUGAUGAGAUGUUGGCACUGAUGAGAUGUUGGCACUGAUGAGAUGUUUUGCACUGAUGAGAUGUUGGCACUGAUGAGAUGUUGGCACUGAUGAGAUGUUUUGCACUGAUGAGAUGUUU